UACAGAGGUCUCAAGCGUUGUUCGGAAUCACUGGGCGUAAAGGGUGCGCAGGCGGCCGGGUGUGUCAGAUGUGAAAUCCCGAGGCUUAACCUCGGAACUGCGUCUGAAACUACUCGGCUAGAGUACUGGAGAGGGUAACGGAAUUCACGGUGUAGCAGUGAAAUGCGUAGAUAUCGUGAGGAACACCAGAGGCGAAGGCGGUUACCUGGACAGUUACUGACGCUCAGGCACGAAAGCAUGGGGGAGCAAAAAGGGG
rnacentral:rRNA from 1 species